rnacentral:rRNA from 1 species
GACAGAGGGUGCAAACGUUGUUCGGAAUUACUGGGCGUAAAGCGCGCGUAGGCGGCUUUGCAAGUCGAGUGUGAAAUCCCCAGGCUUAACCUGGGAACUGCAUUCGAGACUGCAUAGCUAGAGUAUGGGAGAGGGAAGUGGAAUUUCAGGUGUAGCGGUGAAAUGCGUAGAUAUCUGAAGGAACAUCAGUGGCGAAAGCGACUUCCUGGACCAAUACUGACGCGUCAAUGUGCGAAAGCGUGGGGAGCAAACAGG